UCACUACCCUCCUGCCCACAACUAUGCACAUGGCCUGGGCUGUCGCCCCUCUAGCCUGACCCUCUGAUCUGAGGGUGUCGCAAGAGGCCAUGGAAAGGACUCGACCACCAGUUAACCAGUGAGCUGGACCCUGGCCAUAGGAGGCUCCACACUCCUCCCUGUCCUUGUAAAGUCGAAGUACUCUCUGUUCAUCAUUCCCACUGUGGGAGACCAUUGCAAGGAUGCAGCCAUAAGACAGCAAGAUUCUGGUGGGUGGGUGCAGAGAUCUACUUGUCCUGCGGCUCCCCUGAGAUAAACCAUCCAGCAACUCCUCCCUGUUGUUAAAGCUCCACCUACCAGUCCGCAGUUCUCGCGAGAAGGAGCUCCCAAACAUGGCUGCCGCCAGUGUCUGUGUUUCUGGAAGGAGCUGCAGGCGACCCCUUACCACCUCUCCAGGAGCCUCUCCAAGACCCGCAGGAGACACGAGUUGGAUUCCUGGGUCAGGAAGACUCCCUGGAAAAGUAAAUGGUGACCCACUUCAGGAUUCUUGCUUGGAAAAUCCCAUGGACAGAGGAGCCUGGAGGGCUGCAGUUUACAGGGUCACAAAGAGUUGGACACAACUUAGCAACUGAACAAAAACAACAGCAAACCAGUCUGCAGUAGUGCCUCUUUCUUCAGUGUCUCCUUGCUCUCGCUGUGUGGGGGUCACUUUCAGAUCUGCCUCCACCUCCGGAAGCUGCCAAGGUUUUGAACCAACAGAGGCAGAAGAUGGAGAACAGAAUACUGCUCAUGGGAACAAGCUUUGGAAUUAAUAUCUAGUAUGGAAAGAGAUCAGAGGGACAACUUUGAAUGAUCUUUGUGCUUUAGUUUUAUUAAAUGGAAAGUAUAAAAAUGACAUUGAAGGCAGUAUGAUGACCACAAAUGGAUUUCAGGAUGUGGACAGUCACUGGAGACCUGAAAAGGAUGGACGAGGACCUUCAAGGAUGUACAACACAGGAAACUCUGCUCAAUGUUAUAUGGCAGCCUGGAUGGGAGAGGAGUUUGGAGGAGAGUGGAUACACAUAUAUGUAUGGCUGAGUCCCUUGGCUGUCUGCCUGAAAGUAUCAUAACAUUGUUAAUCGGCUAUACUCCAAUAUAAAAUAAAAAGUAAAAAAAAAAAAUAUUGCAAACUGACAAGGUGGGUCUGCUCCGGAGCCAUCUCUUUUCAGCCCCUGCGUGGAGCAGCUGAUAUGAUCCCAGGCGCUCCUAAAAAACCUGUGUUCUCUCUGGGUGUGGAAAUAGAGCUCUCCAGGCAGGCAGGAGUGUCUGCUGCCCAGGUGACCUAGGACAGCCCUGCCUGAUUUAUCCAGGAAACAGCUGACCCCCAUUAGGGCGCUGAUCAGCAUAGAUAGGCCCGAUGAAGGUGCGCCCUUGACACCACAGUUGGUUAACUUCUGAGCACUGGCCGACACUUCAUAGUGCUGAGCUGUGUGAGAAAGCUCUUCUUCCAGAAGCCACAGGCCCCAGAAGCUCUGCCUAGAUGGGUGACAUUUGUGUGGAUAAACCUCGAGUGGCCUUGACUCCACUCCCUGUUCAGGACUGCUUUGUCCUGAGCUGCUAAAUUUCUUCUCUCUCCUCUCCUAGGAGAGGAUGAUUAGCAUCCGUCCACUUCCAUUUCUGUCCCCUCAGACCCCAAAUGGCACAGAAACAACCCCUCAGAAGUAAUGACAAAUGUAAGGGUGACCCACCCAGCCAGGGUAUUGUGAAUGGGAAGCUUAGUAUCUCAAACCCACAUCGUUGUUAUUUACUUACUAAGUUGUGUCUGAUUCUUUGUGACCCCAUGGACUGUAGCCCGCCAGGCUCCUCUGUUCAUGAGAUUCUCCAGGCAAGAAUACUGGAGUGGAUUGCCAUUUCCUCCUCCAGGGGAUCUUCCCUAUCCAGGGAUCGAACACACGUCUCUUGUGUUUCCUACCUUAGUAGGCAGAUGCUUUACCACUAGCGCCAUUUUCAAAGUUGUGCGUGACAAAUGAAACAAGACUGAUCACAGUUCCCGAUACCUAGUAAGCUCCCAAUGAAUAUUCACUAAAAAUGUAUUAGCU
ensembl:lncRNA